rnacentral:rRNA from 1 species
GGUGAACGCUGGCGGCGUGCUUAACACAUGCAAGUCGAACGGAAAGGCCACAGCUUGCUGUGGUACUCGAGUGGCGAACGGGUGAGUAACACGUGGGUGAUCUGCCCUGUACUUCGGGAUAAGCUUGGGAAACUGGGUCUAAUACCGGAUAGGAAUCACAUGUGGGUGUGUGGUUGGAAAGCUUUUGCGGUAUGGGAUGAGCUCGCGGCCUAUCAGCUUGUUGGUGGGGUAAUGGCCUACCAAGGCGUCGACGGGUAGCCGGCCUGAGAGGGUGUACGGCCACAUUGGGACUGAGAUACGGCCCAGACUCCUACGGGAGGCAGCAGUGGGGAAUAUUGCACAAUGGGCGCAAGCCUGAUGCAGCGACGCCGCGUGGGGGAUGACGGCCUUCGGGUUGUAAACUCCUUUCGUCAGGGACGAAGCGAAAGUGACGGUACCUGGAUAAGAAGCACCGGCUAACUACGUG